GAUGAACGCUAGCGGCAGGCUUAAUACAUGCAAGUCGAGGGGUAGCAAGAUUGUAGCAAUACAAUUGUUGACGACCGGCAAACGGGUGCGGAACACGUACACAACCUUCCUACAAGUGGGGAAUAGCCCAGAGAAAUUUGGAUUAAUACCCCGUAACACAGCGAUGUGGCAUCACAUUGCUAUUAUAGCUUCGGCGCUUGUUGAUGGGUGUGCGGCUGAUUAGAUAGUUGGCGGGGUAACGGCCCACCAAGUCUACGAUCAGUAGCGGAUUGGAGAGCAUGAUCAGCCACACGGGCACUGAGACACGAGCCCGACUCCUACGGGAGGCAGCAGUAAGGAAUAUUGGACAAUGGACGCAAGUCUGAUUCAGCCAUGCCGCGUGAAGGAUUAAGGUCCUCUGGAUUGUAAACUUCUUUUAUAAGGGACGAAAAAAGGUCUUUCUAGAUCGUCUGACGGUACCUUAUGAAUAAGCACCGGCUAACUCCGUGCCAGCCGCCGCAGUAACAC
rnacentral:rRNA from 1 species